rnacentral:misc_RNA from 1 species
GGAUUGAAUGGUGAGGCACUACGACUCCACAACCCAUAUUCUCCCUAUAGAAAAAUCUUCAAGAGCUCCGCUAAACUUCCGGUUGGGACAGCCAUGACUUGGUACAAGACCACCUUCCAGGCUCCCUCAGGAACGGACCCUGUGGUGUUGGACUUGCAAGGCAUGGGCAAGGGUCAUGCAUGGGUGAAUGGGAAUAGCCUGGGCCGCUUCUGGCCAACACGGACUGCCGAUCCCAAUGGAUGCGGAGGCACAUGUGAUUACCGAGGCAAAUAUAAAGCGGACAAAUGCUUGAGCAACUGUGGAAAUCCUACUCAAAGAUGGUAAUUAAUGG